AUAAUACUCUACCUUGCCACAAGAAAAAAAUGAAGUGACAUUUAUAAACCUUUCCGUGUUUUGCAAUUCCGUUUCUUUAAAAAAUUUAAAUGAUUGAUAAUUUAUCGCCCUUUGAAUCGACACGCCAUUUGUAAACAUCGAAGGUCGCGGAGAAAAUGAAACUACCAAAAACAAUUAUUUGAUGAUUUAUUUCGAUUGUAUAAAGAAUGACAGUUAGCGAAUCUCAAGAUCAACCACUGAGGAUUGUUUGGCUUGAUGCAAUGACCUUAAACAGUGAAAUGAUUUUCCAGGAAGGUCUAUAAACAACAAGCUGGAUUUUAUGGGGUGAUGAAAGAACUAUCAAUAUGUAAAUGGGAAUGAAACAGAAGG